rnacentral:tRNA from 1 species
GCCUGGGUGGCUCAGUUGGUUGAGUGUCUGCCUUCAGCUCAGGUCAUGAUCUCAGGGUCGUGGGAUCGAGCCCCACAUCGGGCU